UACAAGGAAGACGAAAGGAAAUCAAGUAAGAAAAUAAAAGAAAACAGACCGCAAUAAGAAGGAACGCAUGGGAAGGAACACCAGUAUAAAAAAUAAACUAAAAACAUAUACCAAGUUAUGAGAAAAAGAGGGAAAUAAUGAGAAAAACAAAGCUAAAAGGGAACACAAGAGGGAGAUCCCGUUACAAAGGCAAAAUCUUCAGCAGGGUUUUAAAAAUGGCUGGUGAGGGGAGUUGCGUGUCGAGGGAUAAGAUAAAUUACCUGUUUUCAGCCUCCAGCGGGUCCCUGUAACGCCAUAGGCAGGGGCGAAGAAGCUCCCUGAGAAAUGUGCCAGGUUCUGAGUGGCACGAGGAACCCCCCCUUACGCGUGCCAAGUUCCUGAGAUGCUACCCUGCCCUGCCUUCCUUGCGUGGCCGGCCGUUGCGUCAGCGUUCAAAAUCACUGGGAUAAUUACCUGGCACACCUGCGUCACCUACCUGCGUCACCCCGGCCAUCCCUGCGGUCCUCCCUCCCAUCCAGGUAAGUGAGGCAUCGUGAACAAAAUGAGGAGAGAAGAAGGAAGAUAGUAAAAUAACAAAGGGAGACAGAAAGCAGGAAGA